UGGGGGAUAUUGCACAAUGGGCGAAAGCCUGAUGCAGCGACGCCGCGUGGGGGAUGAAGGCCUUCGGGUUGUAAACUUCUUUUGCUCUGAACAAGGCAUGCAUUUGGGGUGUGUUGAGUGUAGGGGUUGAUUAGCGCCGGCUAACUACGUGCCAGCAGUCGCGGUAAUACGUAGGGCGCGAGCGUUGUCCGGAAUUAUUGGGCGUAAAGGGCUUGUAGGUGGCUGGUUGCGUCUGUCGUGAAAGCUCAUGGCUUAACUGUGGGUUUGCGGUGGGUACGGGCUGGCUUGAGUGCAGUAGGGGAGGCUGGAAUUCCUGGUGUAGCGGUGGAAUGCGCAGAUAUCAGGAGGAAUACCGGUGGCGAAGGCGGGUCUCUGGGCUGUUACUGACGCUGAGGAGCGAAAGCGUGGGGAGCGAACAGG
rnacentral:rRNA from 1 species